UACGUAGGGACCGAGCGUUGUCCGGAAUUAUUGGGCGUAAAGAGCUUGUAGGCGGUUUGUCGCGUCUGCUGUGAAAUCUCAAGGCUCAACCUUGAGCUUGCAGUGGGUACGGGCAGACUAGAGUGUGGUAGGGGAGACUGGAAUUCCUGGUGUAGCGGUGAAAUGCGCAGAUAUCAGGAGGAACACCGAUGGCGAAGGCAGGUCUCUGGGCCACUACUGACGCUGAGAAGCGAAAGCAUGGGGAGCGAACAGG
rnacentral:rRNA from 1 species